UUUUUUUUUUCUUUUUUUUUUUUUUCGAUUGGUGGGGGUAAAGCUUUUUCUUUUUUGGGGGGGGUGGUAAAGCUUUAAGAAUGUCUUACCCCUGUGGUUCUAACAUCAAUAGCCACCAAGAAUUCACAAAAAUAGAGAGCAGACCUACCACUACUGGCAAACCAAUCCUAGAUCUAGGUGUACAAUUUCUAUAAACCAAGCAGAGAAAGAAACCAAGACCAAGUUUGCCACAAAGCUCUCCUAGAUUCACAAAUCCUACUCUUUACGGCAACGUCUACAAAGAAGAGGAAGUACAAUCACAUGGGCACCAAAAUUAUUUUCCUAGAGAAAUACUUAAAACACCACCUUUCCCAAUGGUGGCUCCCAGUUCCCGAAGACAUCCAAAGUUCUCACAGUGGAUUUCAAAGACAUUCAGGAGCUGAACUCAUGAUCCCUGACCCUUCUCACAGCAGAAUGCUCGUCUAGUUUCUGUGCCCACACAAGUCUCUACUUUUUUAUCUCCCACAUCCAGACUUUUGUUUCCCAGUUUUUUAAUCACUCUUUAAAUUUCACCUGCUUCUCUAAGUCCUCUAAUUAAGCAGAGGCUGAUCUAGAUGUAUCACUCACCCCCACAGAGCCUGCAAGAUUUCCGACACUGCUACCAGAUGUGUCUGCGUACACUUGUACAGGCGUGUAGAUACAGGAAUAGACACAGAGCUGGCCAAUGUUUAUAGUGCUUUCCUUUAAAUUAUAAAAUCGUCAAGGGCAGAUACCAAAUCAUUACUUUACAAAACGUGUCUCUGAAGCACAAUAUGCUAACUCGUGUACACAGUAUAUAUUCCAAGGUGUUAUGGAGGUGUUCUCCAGAUACCUCAUGUGCACCCCAGAGGUCAAGUCACCUGCCUAGAAGGAAAGGGAACAUACAUACUCUGGGUACCUUUUCAGCUCUAGUCAUCAUUUAUUUAAUUUACACUUGCCACUCCAAAGAGUGGAAAUGGCCAGUGAGUUAAGUGGCUACUCAUGGAAGUGGGCAGAAAGAUGUGAUUAAAGGGAAAGAAAAAUUUCUGCAGGGGCCCCCUUCUCCUAGGAACACAGAAACCAGAAUAACUAGAUUUCAAGUUAUACAGCCUACCAGAUAGGAUGCUAAGCAGAUCCUAACACAUCUUGAAAACAGAAGUGAACAAAACAAAACUUGCCUUGAAACUACCAGACAUAUUCUGAGACCAUAGUUAAAUUUGAAAAGUGUAAGACUGUUCGCAGGACUCAGCUGCUAUGCUCAGAGAAAGGUGGAAAGGUGACACUAAUUUUUCUUUUUUUAUUAUUACUUCCAGUAAUAACAAAACAACAUACACGAAAACCAAAAAGAAAAAUCCAGUUAAAAUCUCAUAACAGAUAAAGCCAUUUCCAAAUUUCCAGAGAAUACCAGUCUAUAAAUUAUACAUAUAAUUUACAAAGACUAUUGUACCAAAGAGUUCAAGAACAAACUCUGUUUACAAAAUGCACUUCUGGCUUCCCAAAGUGAAUUACAGUAAUAGUAUUAUUGCACACACAAAACUACUAAAUUCUUUCUUCUAAAAUAUUGUCAUAGCCAAGUUAGGAAUACUGUAAAAGCAAGAAGAAAAGUCACUGAAACCAUCUCUCUACCAGAAAGGAGCUAAAAAUCUCCACGUCUAGCUACACAAAACAAACAAACAAAUCAAAACUGCACAGCCCAGAACUAGUUGAUUAUUUAUGAAAAACCAAGUAACUCUGUAAUUCCCCCAUCUUUUCAAAAUUGUGGAACAAUAAAAGCUGUCAGAAGAUGAGACUGAAAAACCAGCUGGUCCUAACAACAACCUAGAUUUUAAUCAUUCCUCAAAAAGAAUUUUAUAUCGUAACCUUUGAACUAGUAAACAUACUUCUCAGAUUCAGACUGCUGGGUAAUGGCAAUGAACUAAAUAACCCAGCCCUAAGAAUUUCAAUUACCUUUAUUUGAUUAACUGUGGCAGUAGAAAAACAAGGUAUAAAAAGACAUGGAAAGGCUUUGUAGGGUCAUUCAUCAUCUUCUACGGUGGGGAAAGCUCCUAUCUCUGUGCAGCCUUCUUCAUCCAAUCCUCCCAAAUAAUCUUUUCUCCAAAAUAUUCAGACUAGUAGAGCUUUCAUCCCUCAGGCUACUUGUAAGAGUUCCUUUUAUAAGACCUUCCCUUACAAAACUAAAUCUCCAAUGUCUUUGACUUUAUUAGCAUACUGGCAAACCCAUAAGAUAUAAAACACCCAAAAUGUCUGAAGAAACAAAACUAUUUUGGCUUCUUCUUUUUCUUUUUUUAUGGCCUCACCUGCACCGUAAGGAAGUUUCUGGCGAGGGGUCGAAUUGGAGCUGCAGCUGGGGCCUAAGCCACAGCCACGGCAAUGCCGGAUCCUUAACCCACUGAGCAAGGCCAGGAAUGGUACCCGCAUCCUCACAGAGAUAAUGCCGGGUCCUUAACAAUGGGAACUCCUAUUUGGCUUCUUUGUGGUUAAUAUGAAGCAUGAAAAAGAGAAAGAAGGAACACGACCCUCUGGAAGUAAAGAGAACAGGGAAGACUGAUAAACCAGAGCAAUAAAGGCAGCUGUAUCCUAAAGUGUACUCAAGUCAGCCAUGAAACUCACCCAAAUGUGCAGCUCACUGCCUAAACCAAAAUAUACAUCUGGUAAUAAUAAACACUGAUAAGUCAUAAACAAAAAGGGCUUUCUUAAUUCAAAGACCCUACCAACUACUGGUAAUAAUAAAAUUUACAUACAACAACAAUCAAUAUGUACAAAAUCGAUUAUUUAAGACAGUAUCUCAACUUAAGUUCCUAAGAAAUUAAAAAUGAUUUGGUAUUAUUUUACUGCCUAGUCUUCAAAACACUAAGACCCCAAUAUCUUUGAUUUGACCAAGUUACAAAUCUGUUUUCAGAAUCGAGAGAAAACAUACUGCCUCUGUUUAACACAAAGGACAAAAAAGAUCAUCACUGCAAAUCAUAAUGUUUGGGUUCAUGAUGAAAACAGGAAACAGACAGGCUGCCCAGGUAUAAUUAUGGUUAUAGCCUAAUGUGCCUUCAGGUUCAGCCAAGAAUUAAAACCCAGGGAAGAGGGUAAGCAGAAUUGACUU
rnacentral:lncRNA from 1 species